rnacentral:rRNA from 1 species
CAGUCGCCGCGGGAAUACGAAGGGGGCUAGCGUUGCUCGGAAUGACUGGGCGUAAAGGGCGCGUAGGCGGAUGGCACAGUCAGAUGUGAAAUUCCCGGGCUUAACCUGGGGGCUGCAUUUGAUACGUGUUGUCUAGAGUGAGGAAGAGGGUCGUGGAAUUCCCAGUGUAGAGGUGAAAUUCGUAGAUAUUGGGAAGAACACCGGUGGCGAAGGCGGCGACCUGGUCCUUUACUGACGCUGAGGCGCGAAAGCGUGAGGAGCAAACAGGAUUAGAUACCCGCGUAGUCCCUGUCUCUUAUAC